rnacentral:rRNA from 1 species
UACGUAGGGGGCGAGCGUUGUCCGGAUUUAUUGGGCGUAAAGAGCUCGUAGGCGGCUUGGCAAGUCGGGUGUGAAACCUCCAGGCUCAACCUGGAGACGCCACUCGAUACUGCUAUGGCUAGAGUCCGGUAGGGGACCACGGAAUUCCUGGUGUAGCGGUGAAAUGCGCAGAUAUCAGGAGGAACACCAAUGGCGAAGGCAGCUCGCUGGAACGGUACUGACGCUGAGGCGCGAAAGCGUGGGGAGCAAACAGG